GUGGGGAAGGGCUUGUGGUGUUAUUUUUCUCAGGGCCUGAUCAUUUAGCUAUCUAAUUUGGGAAGCAGAACUAUCUCUGGCUGACUCUUAUCACCCCUUUCAGCGAGGCAGAUAGCAGCCAGCACAUUACUCAGCGUUACCCCAUGGAUAUCUGGUGUCUGAGUAUGUGUUACAAAACGUGGCAGCAGAACAGUGAAGCCUCUCAGUGCUGGGCACAGAGAAGUGGCUUCAGCCCCACAUGGAGCCCACUGGUAUGUGUGUGGAGGGGAGCAGAGACAGAAAGGAAGUAA
rnacentral:lncRNA from 1 species